rnacentral:rRNA from 1 species
GACGAACGCUGGCGGCGUGCUUAACACAUGCAAGUCGAACGGAAAGGCCCCGCUGUUGUGGGGUGCUCGAGUGGCGAACGGGUGAGUAACACGUGAGUAACCUGCCCUUGACUGUGGGAUAACUUCAGGAAAAUGGGGCUAAUACCGGAUAGGAGCUCCUGCUGCAUGGAGGGGGGUGGAAAGUUUCGGCGGUUGGGGAGGGGCUCUCGGCUUAUCAGCUCGUUGGUGGGGUAGUGGCUUACCAAGGCUUUGACGGGUAGCCGGCCUGGGAGGGUGACCGGCCACCUUGGUCCUGAGGUACGGCCCAGACUCCUACGGUGGGCAGCAGUGGGGAGUCUUGCACAAUGGGCCGAAGCCUGAUGCAGCAACGCCGCGUGCGGGAUGACGGCCUUCGGGUUGUAAACCGCUUUCGCCUGUGACGAAGCGUGAGUGACGGUACUGGGUAAAGAAGCACCGGCUAACUACGUG